AUUGAACGCUGGCGGCAGGCCUAACACAUGCAAGUCGAACGGUAACAGGAAACAGCUUGCUGUUUCGCUGACGAGUGGCGGACGGGUGAGUAAUGUCUGGGAAACUGCCUGAUGGAGGGGGAUAACUACUGGAAACGGUAGCUAAUACCGCAUAACGUCGCAUGACCAAAGAGGGGGACCCUCGGGCCUCUUGCCAUCGGAUGUGCCCAGAUGGGAUUAGUUUGUUGGUGGGGUAACGGCUCACCAAGGCGACGAUCCCUGGCUGGUAGGAGAGGAUGACAAGCUACACUGGAACUGAGACACGGUCCAGACUACAACGGGACGCGGCAGUGGAGAAUAUUGCACAAGGGGCGGAAGCCUGAUGCAGACAUGCCGCGUGUAUGAAGAAGGCCUUGGGGUUGUAAAGUUCAUUCAGCGGGGAGGAAGGGAGUAAAGUUAAUACCUUUGCUCAUUGACGUUACCCGAAGAAGAAGCACCGGCUAACUCCGUG
rnacentral:rRNA from 1 species